CCUACGGGAGGCAGCAGUGGGGAAUAUUGCACAAUGGGCGAAAGCCUGAUGCAGCAACGCCGCGUGAGCGAUGAAGGCCUUCGGGUCGUAAAGCACUGUCCUAAAGGAAGAUAAUGACGGUGCUAGAGGAGGAAGCUCAGGCUAAGUACGUGGCAGCAACCGCGGUAAUACGUAGGGGGCUAGCGUUAGCCGGAAUUACUGGGCGUAAGGGGUGCGUAGGUGGUUUGUUAAGUCAGAGGUGAAAGGCUACGGCUCACCCGUAGUAAGCCUUUGAGACUGGGAAACUUGAGUGCAGGAGAGGGGAGUGGAAUUCCUAGUGUAGCGGUGAAAUGCGUAGAUAUUAGGAGGAACACCAGUUGCGAAGGCGGCUCUCUGGACUGUAACUGACACUCAGGCACGAAAGCGUGGGGAGCAAACAGGAUUAGAUACCCCUGUUGUC
rnacentral:rRNA from 1 species